rnacentral:lncRNA from 1 species
GCCGGCGGAGGAGAGCCCGGCUUCGUUUCAUGAAACAAUUUUACAAAUGAGCAGAGAAUACGGUUUUGGUGUCCUGCUACAAAAAGACAUCGGUCAGUAACGAGCACGAUGUGGAAAAAUGAGAGAAGGGACACAUUCAACCCUGGAGAGUUCAAUGGCUGCUGAAGCUGCCUGCUUUUCACUGCUGCAAGGCCUUUCUGUGUGUGAUGUGCAUGGGAGCAACUUGUUCGUGGGUCAUCGGGAAUACUAGGGAGAAGGUUUCAUUGCCCCCAGGGCACUUCACAGAGUGUGCUGGAGGACUGAGUAAGAAAUGCUGCCCAUGCCACCGCUUCCGGCUCCUGUGCUUUCCCUGAACUGGGACCUUUAGUGGUGGCCAUUUAGCCACCAUCUUUGCAGGUUGCUUUGCCCUGGUAGGGCAGUAACAUUGGGUCCUGGGUCUUUCAUGGGGUGAUGCUGGGCUGGCUCCCUCUUGGUCUUCCCAGGCUGGGGCUGACCUUCCUCGCAGAGAGGCCAGGUGCAGGUUGGGAAUGAGGCUUGCUGAGAGGGGCUGUCCAGUUCCCAGAAGGCAUAUCAGUCUCUGAGGGCUUCCUUUGGGGCCGGGAACUUGCGGGUUUGAGGAUAGGAGUUCACUUCAUCUUCUCAGCUCCCAUUUCUACUCUUAAGUUUCUCAGCUCCCAUUUCUACUCUCCCAUGGCUUAAUGCUUCUUUCAUUUUCUGUUUGUUUUAUACAAAUGUCUUAGUUGUACAAAUAAAGUCCCAGGUUAAAG